GCAUCAUGAUGAAACACCGGCUCCCGUACAAUCACCAAAGUUAAGCAACGUUCAACUUGGUCAGUACCUAGAUGAGUGACCGUUUGGGGAUACCAGGUGUUGUAAG